rnacentral:rRNA from 1 species
UACGAAGGGGGCUAGCGUUGCUCGGAAUCACUGGGCGUAAAGCGCACGUAGGCGGAUUGCUAAGUCAGGGGUGAAAUCCUGGAGCUCAACUCCAGAACUGCCUUUGAUACUGGCGGUCUCGAGUCCGGGAGAGGUGAGUGGAACUGCGAGUGUAGAGGUGAAAUUCGUAGAUAUUCGCAAGAACACCAGUGGCGAAGGCGGCUCACUGGCCCGGUACUGACGCUGAGGUGCGAAAGCGUGGGGAGCAAAGCAGG